AAUUAUUGGGCGUAAAGGGCGCGCAGGGCGGUUUCCUUAAGUCUGAUGUGACAGCUCGCGGCUCAACCGCGAGCGGUCAUUGGAAACUGGGAGACUUGAGUACAGAAGAGGAGAGUGGAAUUCCACGUGUAGCGGUGAAAUGCGUAGAGAUGGGGAGGAACACCAGUGGGGAAGGCGACUCUCUGGUCUGUUACUGACGCUGAGGCGCGAAAGCGUGGGUAGCGAACAGGAUCAGAUACCCUGGUAGUCCACGCCGUAAACGUUGAGUGCUAGGUGUUAGGGGGUUUCCGCCCCUUUGUGCUGAAGUUAACGCAUUAAGCACUCCGCCUGGGGAGUACGGCCGCAAGGUUGAAACUCAAAAGAAUUGACGGGGGCCCGCACAAGCGGUGGAGCAUGUGGUUUAAUUUGAAGCAACGCGAAGAACCUUACCAGGUCUUGACAUCCUCUGACAGCGGCAGAGAUGCCGUGUUCCCUUCGGGGACAGAGUGACAGGUGGUGCAUGGUUGUCGUCAGCUCGUGUCGUGAGAUGUUGGGUUAAGUCCCGUAACGAGCGCAACCCUUAAUCUUAGUUGCCAGCAUUAAGUUGGGCACUCUAAGGUGACUGCCGGUGACAAACCGGAGGAAGGCGGGGAUGACGUCAAAUCAUCAUGCCCCUUAUGACCUGGGCUACACACGUGCUACAAUGGAUGGAACAAAGGGACGCGAAGCGGCGACGUGAUAGCCAAUCCCACAAAACCAUUCCCAGUUCGGAUUGCAGGCUGCAACUCGCCUGUAUGAAGCCGGAAUCGCUAGUAAUCGCGGAUCAGAAUGCCGCGGUGAAUACGUUCCCGGGCCUUGUACACACCGCCCGUCACACCACGAGAGUUGGCAACACCCGAAGUC
rnacentral:rRNA from 1 species